AAGUCGUAACAAGGUUUCCGUAGGUGAACCUGCGGAAGGAUCAUCAACAGAAGGGAAAAGGCGUGGGGUUUUCUCCACGAACCGUUCCCGAAUCCUGUAUUCACCCCAAGUUCCUUAAAAAUUUCAAUAAAAAACUUCAUGCAAAAGACCACCUUAGUUUCGGUGGCGUCUAAUGCACAAAAGCGAAAACUUUCAACAACGGAUCUCUUGGCUCUC
rnacentral:misc_RNA from 1 species